rnacentral:sRNA from 1 species
AACAUAUCUGCUUUAACUUUGAAAUCUUCAAAAUUUACGGUGAGCAUGCAUUUUAUAAUCAGAAGAUGUUAAUAGGCUAAUUUAAAUUUGUUAGAUUUUUUACCAUUUUUAAGAUUAUGUUUAAAAACCUAUAUGAGAGAACAUAUUUGGAGACAGGAACAAAAAUAUGGCUUGGAACAGAAACAGUAUGUGGCUAUAAGGGUUAAUGGCGGGGGGGUGGGGGCGGUGGUGGACAUAGAAUUGAGGAGAAGGAAAAAAGCAGAAUUUGUUCAAUGCACACAAGCAAUGAGAGUAAGGUGUGGUAUGCCCAAAAUGGAAAAGAGGCUAUUCAGAGUGGUCAGGGAGCUUACAGGAGCAUAAAGGAGAGUGAAACUUGGAGUCCAGGUAGCCUGAACUGUGCUUUUUCUGUGGCUAAGGGUGAGUGAUCAAGGUGUGAAGUCUACUAGUAGGCAUAGACCUCAGUUGAUCCUCAAAGAUGGUAUUGAGAGAGUGUUUAUCACUAACUUAGCCUUUGUGUUUCUCUUCACAGAAUUUCUUCAGGUUGAAUUACCUAGAAGUUUGUCACUGACUUGUGUUCCUGAACUAUGACACAUGAAUAUGUGGGCUAAGAAAUAGUUCCUCUUGAUAAAUAAACAAUUAACAAAUA